GGAAGGAUCAUUACCACACCUCAACCUGCCUGCUUGCUGGCGUUCGAAAGUCCGUCGGCGAGUUGGGUAAGACCCGUGAACUUUAUACCCAUUCUGGCACGUCGGCAAUGACAUGCCCAACCUUAUUGUCCACUUCCUAGAAGUGCGAUGACAACCAACAUCUUGAUCGUGAACUGAUUGUACUCGGAAGGGCGUCAAGCUCGGAAGGGAAUAAAAAGUAACGUAAAACACUUUCAGCAACGGAUGUCUUGGCUCCCACAACGAUGAAGAACGCAGCGAAAUGCGAUACGUCAUGCGAAUUGCAAAACUUAGUGAGUCAUCAAAAUUUUGAACGCAUCUUGCACUUCCGUUUACGCGGGAGUAUGUCUGUUGGAGUGUCUGUUCAUCCCCACACCUCUCCCUCUUCUGGGAGUGUUGAGGCAGCCGUUGUAGUCUGAAACUCAGACCCCAACGAGCGUAGAUGUAACAUCCCCCCGACCUCGCCCCUGCUCUGUUGGAGUCAGGAGAGCGCGACGUAGCAGUGUCACCACUGAUAUCAGCGCGCUCGACUGUUCUGGCGCGAAGGAGCCCCGGCGAGAAUCCGUUCGGACCUCCAAUCAGUCAAGAUUACCCGCUGAAUUUAAGCAUAUAACUAAGCGGAGGAAAAGAAACUAACCAGGAUUCCCUCAGUAACGGCGAGUGAAGCGGGAAUAGCUCAGACUGAAAAUCUUCGGAAUUGUAGUCUGGAGAAGCGAAGUCAGCGAAGUCCACCGGCAAAGUCUCCUGGAACGGAGCACCAAGGAGGGUGAUAGUCCCGUCUAUGCCAGGUGGGCGGAGCGUACGACUCGCUUUCAACGAGUCGAGUUGUUUGGGAUUGCAGCUCUAAGCGGGUGGUAAAUUCCAUCUAAAGCUAAAUAUUGGUGGGAGACCGAUAGCGAACAAGUACCGUGAGGGAAAGAUGAAAAGAACUUUGAAAAGAGAGUUAAACAGUACCUGAAAUUGCUGAAAUGGAACCGAUGGGAGGCAGUGUUGGCGCGCGGUUAUUUUGGACGUCCCGCAUGCGGGGAGUUCGUGUGGCCGUGCGCAAGUCAGGCUUUCUUUGACGAGCGGGAGAGGUCUCAAACCUGUGAGGGUUGAGGGUGCCGUCGCUUGUUGGAGGGACUUUGACGAAAUGCCUCUUAUCACCCCGUCUUGAAACACGGACCAAGGAGUCUAACAUGUGUGCGAGUGCUCGGGGUUCAUCCCCCAGCGCGGAAUUAAUGUGAAGGCGGACCUAGUCCGCUGAGGUAGGAUGCUUCGGCUGCACUAUCGACCGACCAUGAUCCUCCGGGAGAAAGGUUUGAGUGUGAGCAUACAUGUUGGGACCCGAAAGAUGGUGAACUAUGCCUGAGUAGGGCGAAGCCAGGGGAAACUCUGGUGGAGGUCCGCAGCGAUUCUAACGUGCAAAUUGAUCGUCGAACUUGGGUAUAGGGGCGAAAGACUAAUCGAACCAUCUAGUAGCUGGUUCCUCC
rnacentral:misc_RNA from 1 species